rnacentral:rRNA from 1 species
AUUGAACGCUGGCGGCAGGCCUAACACAUGCAAGUCGAACGAGUGGCGGACGGGUGAGUAAUGUCUGGGAAACUGCCUGAUUGAGGGGGAUAACUACUGGAAACGGUAGCUAAUACCGCAUACCAUCGGAUGUGCCCCGAUGGGAUUAGCUAGUUGGUGGGGUAACGGCUCACCAAGGCGACGAUCCCUAGCUGGUCUGAGAGGAUGACCAGCCACACUGGAAGUGAGACACGGUCCAGACUCAGACGGGAGGCAGAAUGGGGGAAUAUUGCACAAUGGGCGCAAGCCUGAUGCAGCCAUGCCGCGUGUAUGAAGAAGGCCUUCGGGUUGUAAAGCACUUUAAGCGGGGAGGCGUUACCCGCAGAAGAAGCACCGGCUAACGCCGUGCCAGCAGCCGCGGUAAUUC